rnacentral:rRNA from 1 species
AUGAGUGAACACAACUGCACCGUCUUCAAUUGGAACGUACGGGGUCUGAACAACCCCGCAUGGCGUCUGAUUGUUCGAGAUUUGGUCUGCCAAAAUCGUGCUUCCAUAGUCUGCCUUCAAGAAACAAAACUUGCUGUGGUCGAUCGCGCCGUUAUCCUUGAGACCCUAGGCCCCCUCUUUGCCUACUCCUUUUGCUUCCUCCCAGCCGCUGGGAUAAGGGGCGGCAUAAUCUUGGCUUUUAACUCAGACUUCUUCUCCAUCCAGAGCACCUUCAACAUCCUGAACACUAUUUACGCAACCAUCUCCAUGCGAGCUUCUGUUGCCUCUUGGUGCAUCAUAAAACAAAUAUGCCCUAGAGGCAAUAAUAAAGUUGUUAUUUAUAUUUUCUUAUAUCAUGAUAAAUGUUUAUUAUUCAUGCUAGAAUUGUAUUAA